AUACAGAGGGUGCAAGCGUUAAUCGGAAUUACUGGGCGUAAAGCGCUCGUAGGCGGCUUGUAAAGUCGGAUGUGAAAUCCCCGGGCUCAACCUGGGAACUGCAUUCGAUACUGGCAGGCUAGAGUAUAGUAGAGGCAAGUGGAAUUUCGGGUGUAGCGGUGAAAUGCGUAGAUAUCCGAAGGAACAUCAGUGGCGAAGGCGACUUGCUGGACUAAUACUGACGCUGAGGAGCGAAAGCGUGGGGAGCAAACGGGAUUAGAAACCCCUGUAGUCC
rnacentral:rRNA from 1 species